rnacentral:rRNA from 1 species
UACGGGGGGGGCAAGCGUUGUUCGGAAUUACUGGGCGUAAAGGGCUCGUAGGCGGCCAACUAAGUCGGAUGUGAAAUCCCCAGGCUUAACCUGGGAACUGCAUCCGAUACUGGAUGGCUUGAAUCCGGGAGAGGGAUGCAGAAUUCCAGGUGUAGCGGUGAAAUGCGUAGAUAUCUGGAGGAACACCGGUGGCGAAGGCGGCAUCCUGGACCGGCAUUGACGCUGAGGCGCGAAAGCUAGGGGAGCAAACGGG